UCAUAGUAUAGUGUGUCGAAACAAUAAAAAAACUCAUAGUAUGUUGAAAAAAAGUCAUAGUAAAAUAUAUUAGAAAACUAAUAAAAGUCAUAGUAUAGUAUGUCAAACGAUUUGUAUUAUUAUAAAUACUAAGUAACGUUAGCUCACAAACUAACCCGAGAUAGCUCAAGUUUCUGUUCCUGGUGGACUCAACAGGCUGGAGAGGAAGAUACAGAAGUCAGAGUAAAAUAUAUUGAAAAGUCAUAGUAAAAUAUAUUGAAAGAAAGUAGUAAAAUAUAUUGAAAGAAAGUAGUAAAAUAUAUUGAAAAAAUAGUAAAAUAUAUUGAAAAAAAGUCAUAGUAAGU